rnacentral:rRNA from 1 species
GGUUAAGCGACUAAGCGUACACGGUGGAUGCCCUGGCAGUCAGAGGCGAUGAAGGACGUGCUAAUCUGCGAUAAGCGUCGGUAAGGUGAUAUGAACCGUUAUAACCGGCGAUUUCCGAAUGGGGAAACCCAGUGUGUUUCGACACACUAUCAUUAACUGAAUCCAUAGGUUAAUGAGGCGAACCGGGGAACUGAAACAUCUAAGUACCCCGAGGAAAAGAAAUCAACCGAGAUUCCCCCAGUAGCGGCGAGCGAACGGGGAGCAGCCCAGAGCCUGAAUCAGUGUGUGUGUUAGUGGAAGCGUCUGGAAAGGCGCGCGAUACAGGGUGACAGCCCCGUACACAAAAAUGCACAUGCUGUGAGCUCGAUGAGUAGGGCGGGACACGUGGUAUCCUGUCUGAAUAUGGGGGACCAUCCUCCAAGGCUAAAUACUCCUGACUGACCGAUAGUGAACCAGUACCGUGAGGGAAAGGCGAAAAGAACCCCGGCGAGGGGAGUGAAAAAGAACCUGAAACCGUGUACGUACAAGCAGUGGGAGCACGCUUAGGCGUGUGACUGCGUACCUUUGUAUAAUGGGUCAGCGACUUAUAUUCUGUAGCAAGGUUAACCGAAUAGGGGAGCCGAAGGGAAACCGAGUCUUAACUGGGCGUUAAGUUGCAGGGUAUAGACCCGAAACCCGGUGAUCUAGCCAUGGGCAGGUUGAAGGUUGGGUAACACUAACUGGAGGACCGAACCGACUAAUGUUGAAAAAUUAGCGGAUGACUUGUGGCUGGGGGUGAAAGGCCAAUCAAACCGGGAGAUAGCUGGUUCUCCCCGAAAGCUAUUUAGGUAGCGCCUCGUGAAUUCAUCUCCGGGGGUAGAGCACUGUUUCGGCAAGGGGGUCAUCCCGACUUACCAACCCGAUGCAAACUGCGAAUACCGGAGAAUGUUAUCACGGGAGACACACGGCGGGUGCUAACGUCCGUCGUGAAGAGGGAAACAACCCAGACCGCCAGCUAAGGUCCCAAAGUCAUGGUUAAGUGGGAAACGAUGUGGGAAGGCCCAGACAGCCAGGAUGUUGGCUUAGAAGCAGCCAUCAUUUAAAGAAAGCGUAAUAGCUCACUGGUCGAGUCGGCCUGCGCGGAAGAUGUAACGGGGCUAAACCAUGCACCGAAGCUGCGGCAGCGACGCUUAUGCGUUGUUGGGUAGGGGAGCGUUCUGUAAGCCUGCGAAGGUGUGCUGUGAGGCAUGCUGGAGGUAUCAGAAGUGCGAAUGCUGACAUAAGUAACGAUAAAGCGGGUGAAAAGCCCGCUCGCCGGAAGACCAAGGGUUCCUGUCCAACGUUAAUCGGGGCAGGGUGAGUCGACCCCUAAGGCGAGGCCGAAAGGCGUAGUCGAUGGGAAACAGGUUAAUAUUCCUGUACUUGGUGUUACUGCGAAGGGGGGACGGAGAAGGCUAUGUUGGCCGGGCGACGGUUGUCCCGGUUUAAGCGUGUAGGCUGGUUUUCCAGGCAAAUCCGGAAAAUCAAGGCUGAGGCGUGAUGACGAGGCACUACGGUGCUGAAGCAACAAAUGCCCUGCUUCCAGGAAAAGCCUCUAAGCAUCAGGUAACAUCAAAUCGUACCCCAAACCGACACAGGUGGUCAGGUAGAGAAUACCAAGGCGCUUGAGAGAACUCGGGUGAAGGAACUAGGCAAAAUGGUGCCGUAACUUCGGGAGAAGGCACGCUGAUACGUAGGUGAAGCGACUUGCUCGUGGAGCUGAAAUCAGUCGAAGAUACCAGCUGGCUGCAACUGUUUAUUAAAAACACAGCACUGUGCAAACACGAAAGUGGACGUAUACGGUGUGACGCCUGCCCGGUGCCGGAAGGUUAAUUGAUGGGGUUAGCGCAAGCGAAGCUCUUGAUCGAAGCCCCGGUAAACGGCGGUACGUAACUAUAACGGUCCUAAGGUAGCGAAAUUCCUUGUCGGGUAAGUUCCGACCUGCACGAAUGGCGUAAUGAUGGCCAGGCUGUCUCCACCCGAGACUCAGUGAAAUUGAACUCGCUGUGAAGAUGCAGUGUACCCGCGGCAAGACGGAAAGACCCCGUGAACCUUUACUAUAGCUUGACACUGAACAUUGAGCCUUGAUGUGUAGGAUAGGUGGGAGGCUUUGAAGUGUGGACGCCAGUCUGCAUGGAGCCGACCUUGAAAUACCACCCUUUAAUGUUUGAUGUUCUAACGUUGACCCGUAAUCCGGGUUGCGGACAGUGUCUGGUGGGUAGUUUGACUGGGGCGGUCUCCUCCUAAAGAGUAACGGAGGAGCACGAAGGUUGGCUAAUCCUGGUCGGACAUCAGGAGGUUAGUGCAAUGGCAUAAGCCAGCUUGACUGCGAGCGUGACGGCGCGAGCAGGUGCGAAAGCAGGUCAUAGUGAUCCGGUGGUUCUGAAUGGAAGGGCCAUCGCUCAACGGAUAAAAGGUACUCCGGGGAUAACAGGCUGAUACCGCCCAAGAGUUCAUAUCGACGGCGGUGUUUGGCACCUCGAUGUCGGCUCAUCACAUCCUGGGGCUGAAGUAGGUCCCAAGGGUAUGGCUGUUCGCCAUUUAAAGUGGUACGCGAGCUGGGUUUAGAACGUCGUGAGACAGUUCGGUCCCUAUCUCGCCGUGGGCGCUGGAGAACUGAGGGGGCUGCUCCUAGUACGAGAGGACCGGAGUGGACGCAUCACUGGUGUUCGGGUUGUCAUGCCAAUGGCACUGCCCGGUAGCUAAAUGCGGAAGAGAUAAGUGCUGAAAGCAUCUAAGCACGAAACUUGCCCCGAGAUGAGUUCUCCCUGACCCUUUAAGGGUCCUGAAGGAACGUUGAAGACGACGACGUUGAUAGGCCGGGUGUGUAAGCGCAGCGAUGCGUUGAGCUAACCGGUACUAAUGAACCGUGAGGCUUAACCUU